rnacentral:tRNA from 6 species
UCCUGAGUAGCUCAAUGGUAGAGCGGUUGGCUGUUAACCAAUAGGUUCUAGGUUCAAGUCCUAGCUCAGGAGCCA